GUUCCCCUUUACGGUCCUCGUGGAAAUCAGCUCCGUCCACUGCCUCAGGUGUUCUUCAGUGGUCCACAUCUUGUAGAGUCUGGUGAAUCUACAACCAGGUAAAGGCACCAUUCACAUGAAUGAACUCACUGGAUUUUCACAGCGACCUUAUGCAUAGGGAUGAUCUCUGCU